rnacentral:rRNA from 1 species
GUGUUGUAAGUGUUUAAGGGCGCAUGGUGGAUGCCUUGGCACUGGGAGCCGAUGAAGGACGUUGGAGGCUGCGAUAUGCCUCGGGGAGCUGCCAACCGAGCGUUGAUCCGAGGAUGUCCGAAUGGGGAAACCCGGCACGAGUGAUGUCGUGUCACCCUGCACUGAAUACAUAGGUGUAGGGAGGGAACGCGGGGAAGUGAAACAUCUCAGUACCCGUAGGAAGAGAAAACAAAAUGUGAUUCCGUGAGUAGUGGCGAGCGAAAGCGGAGGAUGGCUAAACCGUAUGCAUGUGAUACCGGGUAGGGGUUGUGUGUGCGGGGUUGUGGGACCUGUUUUUCCAGUUCUACCUGGCUGGAGGGUAGUGAGAAAAUGUCGUGGUUAGCGGAAGUGGUUUGGGAUGACCUGCCGUAGACGGUGAGAGCCCGGUACGUGAAAACCUGACAUCUACCUUGAACGGUGUUCCCGAGUAGCAGCGGGCCCGUGAAAUCUGCUGUGAAUCUGCCGGGACCACCCGGUAAGCCUGAAUACUUCCCAGUGACCGAUAGCGGAUUAGUACCGUGAGGGAAUGGUGAAAAGUACCCCGGGAGGGGAGUGAAAUAGUACCUGAAACCGUGCGCUUACAAUCCGUCAGAGCCUUCGACUUUGUCGUGGGGUGAUGGCGUGCCUUUUGAAGAAUGAGCCUGCGAGUCAGGGACAUGUCGCGAGGUUAACCCGUGUGGGGUAGCCGCAGCGAAAGCGAGUCUGAAUAGGGCGUAUCCGCACAGUAGUGUGUGGUGUAGUGGUGUGUUCUGGACCCGAAGCGGAGUGAUCUACCCAUGGCCAGGGUGAAGCGCGGGUAAGACCGCGUGGAGGCCCGAACCCACUUAGGUUGAAGACUGAGGGGAUGAGCUGUGGGUAGGGGUGAAAGGCCAAUCAAACUCCGUGAUAGCUGGUUCUCCCCGAAAUGCAUUUAGGUGCAGCGUCACAUGUUUCUUGUUGGAGGUAGAGCUACUGGAUGGCCGAUGGGCCCCACAGGGUUACUGACGUCAGCCAAACUCCGAAUGCCGACAAGUCCAAGAGUGUGGCAGUGAGACGGCGGGGGAUAAGCUCCGUGCGUCGAGAGGGAAACAGCCCAGAUCGCCGGCUAAGGCCCCUAAGCGUGUACUAAGUGGAAAAGGAUGUGCAGUCGCGAAGACAACCAGGAGGUUGGCUUAGAAGCAGCCACCCUUGAAAGAGUGCGUAAUAGCUCACUGGUCAAGUGAUUGUGCGCCGAUAAUGUAGCGGGGCUCAAGUACACCGCCGAAGCCGCGGCAACGAUUUAUCGUUGGGUAGGGGAGCGUCCUGCAUCCGGUGAAGCAGCAGAGUGAUCUAGCUGUGGAGGGUGUGGGAGUGAGAAUGCAGGCAUGAGUAGCGAAUAGGCAAGUGAGAACCUUGCCCGCCGAAAGACCAAGGGUUCCUGGGCCAGGCCAGUCCUCCCAGGGUGAGUCGGGACCUAAGGCGAGGCCGACAGGCGUAGUCGAUGGACAACGGGUUGAUAUUCCCGUACCCGUGUAUGUGCGUCCCUGAUGAAUCCAUUGUGCUAACCAUCCAAAACCGUCGUGACUGAUCCCUUCGGGGUGAGGCGUUGACGGGGCUGCGUGGGACCCCGGUGGGUAGUAGUCAAGCGAUGGGGUGACGCAGGAAGGUAGCCGUACCAGUCAGUGGUUGUACUGGGGUAAGCCUGUAGGGAGAAACGUAGGCAAAUCCGCGUUUCACAUAUCCUGAGAGGUGAUGCAUAGCCGUUUGAGGCGAAUUCGGUGAUCCUAUGCUGCCAAGAAAAGCCUCUAGCGAGGACAUACACGGCCCGUACCCCAAACCAACACAGGUGGUCAGGUAGAGAAUACUAAGGCGUACGAGUGAACUAUGGUUAAGGAACUCGGCAAAAUGCCCCCGUAACUUCGGGAGAAGGGGGACCCCCAUAUCGUCAAGGCUCUUGCGGCCGGCAGCGGGAGGGGGUGGCACAAACCAGUGAGAAGCGACUGUUUACUAAAAACACAGGUCCGUGCGAAGUCGCAAGACGAUGUAUACGGACUGACGCCUGCCCGGUGCUGGAAGGUUAAGAGGACCUGUUAACCCUUCGGGGUGAAGCAGAGAAUUUAAGCCCCAGUAAACGGCGGUGGUAACUAUAACCAUCCUAAGGUAGCGAAAUUCCUUGUCGGGUAAGUUCCGACCUGCACGAAUGGCGUAACGACUUCUCAACUGUCUCAACCAUAGACUCGGCGAAAUUGCACUACGAGUAAAGAUGCUCGUUACGCGCGGCAGGACGAA